UCAGAAGCUGGUAAACAGUGCCUGCAAAUCGAUCGAGAGAGAUCGAGAGAGAGGGAGGAGGAGGAGGAGGAAGAUGAUACACCGCAAGUGGAGUCUCAUGACUGGUCCCGUCGCCAUGCUCGGUGGCGUCGUGGCCGCCGUCGUCGUCGCCAACUACAUCUUCCUAGGCGAUCCAUUCCGUAAGCCAGAGCCAAAGAAGGAGUAUUCACCAUCAUCUACCAAGUGACCAUGUUGACGUAACUCAAAGUGAAUGUGAGGACCAUCUUUGGGCUGGGUUUUGAGCGUUCUUGAACCUUAAGAUGGGAACAGCAAGUUGUAUCUUGAAAUAUUAGUUGCGAGACCAUUGUUCAACCCAAUGUACCUGGCCAUUCUCUUUUGUUGAAUGCUGCUGUCGCAUUUCCUGUUUGACUGCGAAAAAUAAGUUGUUUUGAAUUUGACCAGUGAACACUGUGGCUAAUGCAAAUGUUUCCAUUAGUGGCAGAA